rnacentral:rRNA from 1 species
ACUCCUACGGGAGGCAGCAGUGGGGAAUCUUGGACAAUGGGGGCGAACCCUGAUCCAGCCAUGCCGCGUGAGUGAUGAAGGCCUUAGGGUCGUAAAGCUCUUUCGCCUGUGAAGAUAAUGACGGUAGCAGGUAAAGAAACCCCGGCUAACUCCGUGCCAGCAGCCGCGGUAAUACGGAGGGGGUUAGCGUUGUUCGGAAUUACUGGGGCGUAAAGCGCACGUAGGCGGAUCGGAAAGUUGGGGGUGAAAUCCCGGGGCUCAACCCCGGAACGGCCUCCAAAACUAUCGGUCUAGAGUUCGAGAGAGGUGAGUGGAAUUCCGAGUGUAGAGGUGAAAUUCGUAGAUAUUCGGAGGAACACCAGUGGCGAAGGCGGCUCACUGGCUCGAUACUGACGCUGAGGUGCGAAAGUGUGGGGAGCAAAACAGGAUUAGAUACCCUGGUAGGACAGUG